rnacentral:rRNA from 1 species
GACAGAGGUGCCGAGCGUGAGGCGGAAUCACUGGGCUUAAAGCGUGUGUAGGCGGGCCGUUAAGUGUCUUGUGAAAUCCCCCGGCUCAACCGGGGAAUUGCUGGGCAUACUGGCGGUCUUGAGCAAUCUAGGGGCAGAUGGAACAAGUGGUGGAGCGGUGAAAUGCGUAGAUAUCACUUGGAACGCCAACGGUGAAGACAGUCUGCUGGGGAUUUGCUGACGCUGAGACACGAAAGCCAGGGGAGCGAACGGG